CCGCACGGGUGAGUAACACGUAUCCAACCUGCCGUCUACUCUUGGACAGCCUUCUGAAAGGAAGAUUAAUACAAGAUGGCAUCAUGAGUACACAUGUUCACAUGAUUAAAGGUAUUCCGGUAGACGAUGGGGAUGCGUUCCAUUAGAUAGUAGGCGGGGUAACGGCCCACCUAGUCUUCGAUGGAUAGGGGUUCUGAGAGGAAGGUCCCCCACAUUGGAACUGAGACACGGUCCAA
rnacentral:rRNA from 1 species